AAAUUUCAGAGCGUUCCAUGAGGCUUGACUCCUUUCUGCUUCAAGGAACCGGGCGACUGCUGCCCCACCGUAGAGCAGUGCGAGGAGAGAUAGAUCUCCACGACUCCACUCGCCUCUUCUUUCCGUCCUCCUCUCCAUGGCUCCCCUCAAGGGGAUCGAUGCGGUGGCUCUCCCCUAGCAGUUCUGGCUCACCCUACUCUCAGCUCUCCCCGGCCACCAUCUCGGUGUGCGGUGGGCGGUGGCUGUGGUUGGGUCGCCCACAAGAGGACAUGCCCCUAAUUCACAAAAAAAAAGAGAGUACAUGCCCUUGGCCGCCAUCGGAUUUUCUCCCUCUCCUGUGCCAGAUCUGCUUCUUUCUGCAAGCUGGGUGGUGAAGAAGGGAGAGAGAGGGCUGCAGCUGUUUGUGCUGCUGCUGGUCCAACCAGCAGGUCCUUUGUUCGUUUUUUCGAUUACUUUCUCUUAACUUUUUUGGACCCUGAUUAUUUCAUGAGGUCCUUACCACCGGAUCUAAAGCAUCUUUGGAGGAUUUCUUUAUCUGCAUUAGUUUUAGCCUUUCUAUGCUAAUUUUCUCGGUGUAUGUACGGCGUGGUCCUCAACAAUACAAAUUGAGUUGUGUCGAGAGAUCAAAGGAAAGCUUUCCUCACAUACUUACAAAAGUUGUACGAGAUAUUCUAAGAAAUUUAUGUUGGCUAUCUAAAACUUACAUGAUAAAAUGAAAAUACCUUAUGUUAGCCUGUCCAAACUUUUGUAUGAUAUUAACCAUGUUAGUGUGGAUCGGAUCCUACGGGAUCGCUAGCAGCAGCGGCAAAAACUGCAAGCACCAGGUUUGGAACAAAUAAAGCAGGAACGGGCGACUAUUGCUAGAUAUCACCACCAGUGCCUAGUGAAUUAACCAUUCCUUGGAGCUGUUUGCUUCGAGAGACUUGGUGAAAAGGAAAUGGAAGCACAACAAAUCGAUCUGGGUAGCCAGCUAAUUUUUUUGGGUCUGGCCAGCCAUCACGUGCAUACUGUACGAGCCAACCUUCAUGUCGCUGGGACCAUGAUGAGUUGUGGCCCUUUUUCUUUUCAUGUACCCAUCCUCCAGAAAAGCUCCUUCCAUCCGCAAGCUGUGCGAGAAGAACCAGAUCCAGGCACCUCCACUUCCAUCUUCUCCCCGUCCUCUUCUCCGUGGUUCCCCUUGGGGGGGUCGGUGGCCGUGGAAAUCGGUGCGGUGGCUCUGCCCCGCCAGAUCGGGCUCAAUCUGCUCUCCCUUGCCACCACUCUAGUGUACAGUGGCUGCAGGCGGCGGAUUCGCCCACAAGGAGAUGACAUGCCCCUGGUCGCCGUCGGAUUUGCUUCAUCUCCCCGUGGCAAAUCUGCCUUUCUAUGCAAGCUAGGAUGUGCAAGCUAGGAUAUGAAGGGAUGUAGUAAUUGGUGGAAGAAAGGAGAGAUGGAAACAUGGAAAGGGGUGCUACACUUGUUCGUUCUGCUGCUGGUCCAACCAGCAGGUUCUUUCUUCGUUCUUUUCUUUGAUUGUUACUUUAUGUUAACUUGGGUCAUGUUUUUUAUCCUCAUAAUUUCGUGAGGUCCUUCCCUACUCGGACCUGAGAAUCUUUAGUAUCUUCAGAGCGUUGUUUAAUAUAUUUAGUUAUAAUUAGAACUCUCUGUGCUGUGCUAAUUAGCCAUUUCCCCCUUUUUUUAUGGCGUAGUCCGUAGCAAUACCAAUGGUCUUUGUAUUAUAAAAAUAUCAAAGAACUUUCCUCAUGUGCUAACAAACUUUGUACGUGAUGAUGGAAUAGCUUUCUUAUUGUCUGUCUAAAUUUGUAUGAUAAAUCAAAGAACAUUAAAUGAACCUCUCUAAUAUGUUGAUUUUACAUGAUCCACCGUGACCGUGAGGCUUGUACCUUUUUUGCCCAAGGCUGAGGAAUAUUCUAAGGGAUAGAGCUCCAUUAGGCAUUUCGUACUCCUUUCACGGU
rnacentral:lncRNA from 1 species